UUAUUACGAAAGAAACCAGUCUAUACAUCUCUUUAUCUACUAAUGUAAAACUUACUUUUUGAACUGUGUCGACUUUCUAUAAAACCUAUGUAGGCUUUCCCGGACGAUUUCACAAAACGUGAAUUGAAAAAUAUUCGUUUACAUUGUCUCUCUGAGCAGUGGAAAUGGUUUGGUGCCUAUGAAGAAUUGGAAGGUCAUUCUCAAGUUUGUGAGCAUGCGCUCAUCAGCUGCGUACAUAAGCAGUGUAACAUUCGGUUACCUCGCUCUCUCUUUGAUGAGCAUUUGAAGAAUGAAUGUGAAUAUCGAAAUGUGAAAUGUGAAUAUUGUGGUAAAGAUGUCCCGUAUGCUUCACUUAAGAAGCACGAAGAAAUAAUGUGUGAAAAUUAUCGAGUGGUUUGUAAGUAUUGUAUUCAAAUGAUACCAAGGAAAGAUAUUGAACAUCAUGAAAGUACGACUUGUGAUGAAGUGCCGACGAAAUGUGAAUUUCAAGCCAUUGGAUGCAACCAUGAUAAAGUAAGAAUGUUUGGACUGAUUUAUAAUUUUAUGUCAGCAGUAGUAGAUGCGUAGUAGCUCCCACCGACAAUCUUGCAUUUGUUCUUUGCAUAAAAAAAUUUAACGUCAAAACCCUUGAGAUGAUAGUAUGGUAUAAAAAUGCUUAGAAGUUUUAAAAUUCAAAACAAGCAAUGUUAAAAACGUUGA